GACGAACGCUGGCGGCGUGCCUAACACGUGCAAGUCGAACGGAGCAGAUCCCUUCGGGGGUUUGCUUAGUGGCGAACGGGUGAGUAACGCGUGAGGAACCUGCCUUUCAGUGGGGGACAACAGUUGGAAACGACUGCUAAUACCGCAUAAUGCUUUUGAGCCGGCAUCGGCUUGAAAGCCAAAGGUUUAUCGCUGAAAGAUGGUCUCGCGUCUGAUUAGCUAGUUGGUGAGGUAACGGCUCACCAAGGCGACGAUCAGUAGCCGGUCUGAGAGGAUGAACGGCCACAUUGGGACUGAGAUACGGCCCAG
rnacentral:rRNA from 1 species